rnacentral:rRNA from 1 species
CUUGCUGGGUGGAUUAGUGGCGAACGGGUGAGUAACACGUGAGUAACCUGCCCUUAACUCUGGGAUAAGCCUGGGAAACUGGGUCUAAUACCGGAUAGGAGCGUCCACCGCAUGGUGGGUGUUGGAAAGAUUUAUCGGUUUUGGAUGGACUCGCGGCCUAUCAGCUUGUUGGUGAGGUAAUGGCUCACCAAGGCGACGACGGGUAGCCGGCCUGAGAGGGUGACCGGCCACACUGGGACUGAGACACGGCCCAGACUCCUACGGGAGGCAGCAGUGGGGAAUAUUGCACAAUGGGCGCAAGCCUGAUGCAGCGACGCCGCGUGAGGGAUGACGGCCUUCGGGUUGUAAACCUCUUUCAGUAGGGAAGAAGCGAAAGUGACGGUACCUGCAGAAGAAGCACCGGCUAACUACGUGCCAGCAGCCGCGGUAAUACGUAGGGUGCGAGCGUUAUCCGGAAUUAUUGGGCGUAAAGAGCUCGUAGGCGGUUUGUCGCGUCUGUCGUGAAAGUCCGGGGCUUAACCCCGGAUCUGCGGUGGGUACGGGCAGACUAGAGUGCAGUAGGGGAGACUGGAAUUCCUGGUGUAGCGGUGGAAUGCGCAGAUAUCAGGAGGAACACCGAUGGCGA